GCUGGCGUAGCUCAGUAGGCAGAGCAGCUCACUCGUAAUGAGCAGGUCGGGGGUUCGAAUCCCCCCAUCAGCU
rnacentral:tRNA from 1 species